GCCCGGGUGGUGAAACUGGUAGACACGAGGGACUUAAAAUCCCUUGGCCAUUGCGGCCGUGCGGGUUCGAUUCCCGCCUCGGGUA
rnacentral:tRNA from 1 species